ACACGGGGUGGAAACGCCAUAGAGUUUGACAGCUCCAUAGAGAGUGAAUUUUUUUGACAGUUCCGAGAGGAAGUGACUUUUUUUAUAGUUGUCUUCUGUAUGCGACAGUGGUCUUUUGCAUGUUAGAAACCUUAGAAACCUUUUCGAAUUACAACUUCAGCUUUUAUUCAUAAAUUAUUUUAUUGAAUCUAUGUGAUUUCUAUAAAUUAAAUGGUUAUUUAAAAGUAUAAUAAUUCAAAGUCGUAAUUUUCACUUUAAUCACUUUAGUUCCGUCUCAAGUCUACAACUGUGACAUUAUUAAAAAAAAAUAAACGUCAAAAAUUUUUCAUCGAAAAAACGUGUUUUUCUACGAUUUUUAAUUGUUUCUAAUUGAAAUCCAUAAUUUCUCAGUCAUUAUUAAUAAGAACUACAUGUGCAUGGAUUGCCUGUUGGAUUGAUGUUUGUUUACGAAAAAAAUUCUCUCAAGUUAAUAUCGAACUUCGAACUUAUAAAGUGUUAAGCAGCAAUUACAAUAAAAGUGCUUGCUGUGGAAUCACUGGUGCUGCUCAUUAUUGUCAACUGUUACUUAAAAAGGUCCAGAUGAACCAACAUAUUCAAUGAAGUUUAAAAGAGACCUAUUUAAACAAUAAAACAAGACCAAAAAUGAA